rnacentral:tRNA from 1 species
GCCCGAAUGGUCUAAUGGUAUGAUUCGCGCUUUGGGUGGAGAUCCCUUUUUCCGGAUCCUAUAUGCGUGAGGUUCUGGGUUCGAUUCCCAGUUCGGGCC